AUUGAACGCUGGCGGCAGGCCUAACACAUGCAAGUCGAGCGAGCGGCGGACGGGUGAGUAAUGUCUGGGAAACUGCCCGAUGGCGGUGGAUCACUACUGGCAACGGUAGCUAAUACCGCAUACCAUCAGAUGUGCCCAGAUGGGAUUAGCUAUUAGGUGGGGUAACGGCCCACCUAGGCGACGAUCCCUAGCUUGUCUUAGAGGAUGACCAGCCACACUGGAACUGAGACACGGUCGAGAAUCCUACGGGAGGCAGCAGUGGGGAAUAUUGCACAAUGGGCGCAAGCCUGAUGCAGCCAUGCCGCGUGUGUGAAGAAGGCCUUCGGGUUGUAAAGUACUGUCAGCGGGGAGGCGUUACCCGCAGAAGAAGCACCGGCUAACUCCGUGCCAGCAGCCGCGGUAAUUC
rnacentral:rRNA from 1 species